rnacentral:rRNA from 1 species
GAUGAACGCUGGCGGCGUGCCUAAUACAUGCGAGUAGAACGCUGAAGGAGGAGCUUGCUCUUCUGGAUGAGUUGCGAACGGGUGAGUAACGCGUAGGUAACCUGCCUGGUAGCGGGGGAUAACUAUUGGAAACGAUAGCUAAUACCGCAUGACAACAGUUAUUGCAUGAUAACCGUUUAAAAGGGGCAACUGCUCCACUACCAGAUGGACCUGCGUUGUAUUAGCUAGUUGGUGAGGUAACGGCUCACCAAGGCGGCGGUACAUAGCCGACCUGAGAGGGGGGACGGCCCAACUGGGAAUGGGGACAGGCCCCAACUCCUACGGGGGGCAGCCGGAGGGGAUUUUCGGCCAUGGACGGAAGUCUGACCGAGCAACGCCGGGUGAGUGAAGGAGGUUUUCGGAUCGUAAAACUCUGUUGUAAGAGAAGAACGAGUGUGAGAGUGGAAAGUUCACGCUGUGACGGUAUCUUACCAGAAAGGGACGGCUAACUACGUG